AGAGUUUGAUCCUGGCUCAGAACGAACGCUGGCGGCAUGGCUAAGACAUGCAAGUCGUACGGACCGUUUUUUGCUUGCAUUAGACGGUUAGUGGCGAAAGGGAGAGUAACGCAUGGGUAACGUACCCUGGACACCGGGAUAGCAGCGGUCUUCGGACCUUUAGCGAAAGUGCUGGUAAUACCGGAUGAGAUCACGGAAUCGAAUGUUUCAGUGAUCAAAGGGCGGGGAUCUUCGGACCUGCCGGUCUGGGAGCGGCCCAUGUCUUAUCAGCUUGUUGGUGGGGUAAUGGCCUACCAAGGCUACGACGGGUAGCGGGCGUGAGAGCGUGACCCGCCUCAUCGGGACUGAGACACUGCCCGGACACCUACGGGUGGCUGCAGUAACGAAUAUUGGGCAAUGGGCGAAAGCCUGACCCAGCAAGCCGCGUGCAGGAGGAAGCCCCUCGGGGUGUAAACUGCUGUCAGGGUUUAGCAAGCAAUGAGGGUUAAUAGCCCUUUGCGUUGAGCAGACCCAAAGGAAGCCUCGGCUAACUCUGUGCCAGCAGCCGCGGUAAGACAGAGGAGGCAAGCGUUGUUCGGAAUCAUUGGGCUUAAAGAGGGUGUAGGCGGCUUGGUAAGUGUCCCGUGAAAUCCCCCGGCUCAACUGGGGAAUUGCGGGGCAAACUGCUUGGCUUGAGGUCGGUAGAGGCGCCUUGAACUCUGGGUGGAGCGGUGAAAUGCGUAGAUAUCCAGAGGAACGCCAGAGGCGAAAGCGGGGCGCUGGGCCAAUUCUGACGCUGAGACCCGAAAGCGUGGGGAGCAAACAGGAUUAGAUACCCUGGUAGUCCACGCCGUAAACGAUGCACACUAGGUGGCGAAGCCUCUGACGGCGGCGCCGCCGAAGCAAAAGUACUAAGUGUGCCGCCUGGGGAGUACGGCCGCAAGGCUAAAACUCAAAGGAAUUGACGGGGGCUCACACAAGCGGUGGAGCAUGUGGCUUAAUUCGAAUCAACGCGAAGAACCUUACCCAGGUUUGACAUGCUUGGAUGCUCUUCUGGGAUAACCAGGAGCGCUGCCCUUCGGGGUGAAACUUGCACAGGUGUUGCACGGCUGUCGUCAGCUCGUGCUGUGAAGUGUCGGGUUAAGUCCCUUAACGAGCGAAACCCCUGUUGUCAGUUGCCAACGCGUAAUGGCGGGGACUCUGACGAGACUGCCGGCGUUAAGCCGGAGGAAGGUGGGGAUGACGUCAAGUCAUCGUGGCCCUUAUGCCUGGGGAUGCACACGUGCUACAAUGGUUGGGACAGAGGGAAGCAAUACCGUGAGGUGGAGCAAAUCCCAAAAACCCAACCCCAGUUCGGAUUGCAGGCUGAAAUUCGCCUGCAUGAAGCCGGAAUCGCUAGUAAUCGCGUAUCAGCUACGACGCGGUGAAUGUGUUCCUGAGCCUUGUACACACCGCCCGUCAAGUCAUGGAAGCUGGUAGUACCCGAAGUCCGUUUAGCUAACUUUCACGAGAGGCGACGGCCGACGGUAAGACCGGUGACUGGGACUAAGUCGGAACAAGGUA
rnacentral:rRNA from 1 species